AUUGAACGCUGGCGGCAGGCCUAACACAUGCCAGUCGAGCGGAUGAAGGGAGCUUGCUCCUGGAUUCAGCGGCGGACGGGUGAGUAAUGCCUAGGAAUCUGCCUGGUAGUGGGGGAUAACGUCCGGAAACGGGCGCUAAUACCGCAUACGUCCUGAGGCAGAAAGUGGGUGAUCUUCGGACCUCACGCUAUCAGAUGAGCCUAGGUCGGAUUAGCUAGUUGGUGGGGUAAAGGCCUACCAAGGCGACGAUCCGUAACUGGUCUGAGAGAAUGAUCAGUCACACUGGAGCUGAGACACGGUCCAGACUCCUACGGGAGGGAGCAGUGGCGAAUAGUGGACAGUGGGCGAAAGCCUGAUCCAGCCAUGCCGCGUGUGUGAAGAAGGUCUUCGGAUUGUAAAGCACUUUAAGUUGGGAGGAAGGGCAGUAAGUUAAUACCUUGCUGUUUUGACGUUACCAACAGAAUAAGCACCGGCUAACUUCGUG
rnacentral:rRNA from 1 species